ensembl:lncRNA
GCUCCCGAGGGGCGGUGGAAGCGCGGGGCUGCCUCAGGUGGGCUGCGCAGGUGUCGCCGCGCUGGGUGGGGAGGGCUGCCGGCCUGACGCGGGUACUGCUCUGGGGAGGUCGUAGCGUGGGAACAGUGCUGCUAGAGGUGAGCUCUUCGUGAGUGUCGUGGUGCUCGGGUUUGUGGCCUCGGCUCGGGCCCUGGCUUCCUGACCGCUGAGAAGGCAGGGGAUGCUAGCAGGGCAGGCUCAGAGCUCCGUGCUGGGUCUGAGGAGGCCCCGAGACCGAACGCCUAGCUUUAAUCCAGGAGAAAAUAAAGCAGUAGAACAGGGCUCUGGAAAAAUAACUUCAUGGGAGUUAGAUCAAGUGAAAGGUGACACCUGGGGAGGUGAGCAGAGGUGUGGUGUGGGGAAACAACACGCCCGUCUUCGUGUAAGUGAUUGAAUGGCAGCAUCAGAUGGGGUAUUAGGAAAUGUUUCUUCUCAGGAAGAGCAGCGAGUCAUUGGCACAGGCUGCCAAGGAAGGUGAUGCAGUCACCAUCCCUGGAGGUGUUCCAGAACUGUGUAGAUGUGGCACUGAGGGACUCAGUGAGUGUGGUGGGAUGGGCUGAUGGUAGAGGUCCUUCCAACCACAAUGGUUCUAUGAUUCUGUCAGCUGAAGUUUGAUCUCAAAGGUAUCCUUGGUGAUAACAGCAACCAAGGUGGUCUUGUGCUUGAGCUAAUACACCCCAAAAAGGAGAGGGUUUUAGUGCUUGAUUGCAGGGGAGACACUGAAUUGUUCUGUUGUGUGGAAGAGUUGUUGUACAGAGAAGGAACACCUGCAGUGAUGCCUGAGCUUGGACAGACAAACAACUUCUAUAAAUGCCAUCUCUGAAACAGAUAUUAGAAAAAUAAGGUGCUCUGUCAUAGUUAUGCUGCUGGAAGACAGAAAGAAUCAAUGACUGUGCAGUGUUCCCUACUUAGAUUUAUUGCAUAAUGAGUAAAAUCUUAAUCUUGCGUGCCUCUUCUGGUGUCUCUAUGCUCAAGUUCUGCAAAAUGAAGGGUUGCGUAGGAGAACACAUGCUAACAGCUACCCUAGAUGGAAUUAGGACAGUUUAAGGUCCCUGCUUCUGCAGAGGAAUUGUAUUUUUGGACAUGGUCAAAGAAUCCAUGAAUUUUGCAUUAGGUCUCUUAGGUUACUCAGUUUCAAGCCACUAGAAAGCCCGUAAGGCAACCAGACUCUCUGUGGUCUGUGGCAUGUAUUUUAGACUUACAAGCUAAUCCUUAUGUGGAUUCCAACUGAGGAUCUUCUAUGAUUCUAUGAAAUUUGAAGGUUCAGCAUAAGUGGUACUGGGAGGAAUUGUCAAUGCAAUAGGAGACCACUGCUAAUGUUGGUAGUGUGCCGCAGUACAAGUGGAGCAGCACCACUGCUGCUGCUGAGGACCUGGUGCUUGUGCUGCAUGUUUUGCAGGAGGCCUCACUGUAGGCAGGCUUUUGCCUGGACCUGUGGGCUGGAUAUUCACUGGUGGAUGGAGUACCUUAGGGGAACCCCUGAAGCACAUCUUCUGGUCUGCUUUUAUUCAGAGGGAAUCCAGCUUGCUUUCUGAUGGAUGUCAAAUUACCGACCAAAGCGCAGUGUAAGUCUAGAUGUUCAUGAGAUUUACUGCCAAAAUACUCUUGAGAUGAACUAUAGUGGUACUGUAGAGGUACUCCCAGCAUGCAAGCCUCGCUGAGCUUGAGUUUUGUAAGCUGCCAGAGGGAAGCGGCUGCAGAGCUCAGCAGCAUGGCAGAUCACAGUCAUACACACACCUGUGAGAUCUGCCUCUGACAUGAAGAGUUUGAGGCUGGUUGAAGCCUUAGGCAGUCUCUGCUCUACUUCUCUAAUUGCACCUCACCGUACUAUGUACAGGAGCUUACUCUUUGGGUCACCUCCAUGUCACUAAUAGCGCUCCGCAGAUGUGAACGCUCACUGCACACAAUGUGAUAACCACCGUUCCUGAUCUGCCAUGCUUUUAAUCAUCCUGUCUUUACAAAGGAGGAAAAUUACUCAGGCUUUUUGGAGCCCUGUUUUGAAUGCUUUUCAAUUCUACUCUCCAAUCUUCCUGAGAAACCUCAGCAAAACUUGCAGAAAAUCCUAACCUCACACGAAGAAAAACUUCACUCAGCCUUGUAAUCCAAGGUGAAAGUCUAAAUGAAAUGGAAUGUAUGAAUGCUUUUGUUCCCUGUGUUUUUUCUUCAGUCACAAAGAUCUUGGGGCAGGCUAACAAACGUGCCAGGCUCAGCCAAGCUUCUUCCUGGUCAGUCUCUUCUUUCUUAAGCACUUCCAAGCCUUAGAAAGGAAACUUGAACUCCUUUGUGGGUGGGUUCUUUGUGCCUGUGCCCUUUCAAAAGAGUAUCUGUUGAAUCUCUGGACAGUAUUAUAAUAAUAUUACAAUUAGAUUGUAGGUUGCCAUUAGUCUACUGCAGAGUUUAUACUCCCUGUCUGUUGAGAGACAAGUGGCAAAAUCUUUUGUGGCUGGCUGAAAUGGGUUUGCAGUGGAUUUUACUCUCCUGUGAGAUCUGGACUUUAUAUUUUUCAUCAAAGUAAAAAUGAGUAAUUUAUUAAUGUACUCCUUAUAUUGCUGUAUGAAUGCAACUUAACAGUAUUUUGUAAAUACUUAAGCUUUCAGGAUUUUUAUUAAAUACCUAAAUCAUGGUAAAGUAGGCUAUAAACAUGCAAAAUGUGACGUUCGGUGCCAGUCUGCCUUCAUCAGGUCCUGAGGUUUAAAUAUUUGUUUGUGUGUAAAUAGCAAAAUACCCCAACUGAAUUUUUGAAAGUUCCAUAUGAUAAGUUAGUCUGAAAGUGGGAGUUUGAGAUGGAUCAUACUUGUCCCUCAGCAGAGGUGGGGAACAGGUUGAGAAAGAAAAGAGUCGAAAGCACCGGUGUGCCUGGGAUGGGAGAUGUUAAGAAACACUAUGUGCUAUGGGGGGCAGAAAGCAAGAUGCCUGCAAAAUGUGCCACAGAACUGAGUGGAAAGCAACUGAAAAGAUGGGUUUUCUUUCCAGUUGCUAGCAUGAAACGCGUGAUGUGAUGUUUUUGCUAUUUAUCACUUUGACAGAAUAAAGUGUAACAUGUU